rnacentral:rRNA from 1 species
GUGGCGAACGGGUGAGUAACACGUGGGCAAUCUGCCCUUCACUCUGGGACAAGCCCUGGAAACGGGGUCUAAUACCGGAUAACACUCCUGCCUGCAUGGGCGGGGGUUAAAAGCUCCGGCGGUGAAGGAUGAGCCCGCGGCCUAUCAGCUUGUUGGUGGGGUAAUGGCCUACCAAGGCGACGACGGGUAGCCGGCCUGAGAGGGCGACCGGCCACACUGGGACUGAGACACGGCCCAGACUCCUACGGGAGGCAGCAGUGGGGAAUAUUGCACAAUGGGCGAAAGCCUGAUGCAGCGACGCCGCGUGAGGGAUGACGGCCUUCGGGUUGUAAACCUCUUUCAGCAGGGAAGAAGCGAAAGUGACGGUACCUGCAGAAGAAGCGCCGGCUAACUACGUGCCAGCAGCCGCGGUAAUACGUAGGGCGCAAGCGUUGUCCGGAAUUAUUGGGCGUAAAGAGCUCGUAGGCGGCUUGUCACGUCGGAUGUGAAAGCCCGAGGCUUAACCUCGGGUCUGCAUUCGAUACGGGCUAGCUAGAGUGUGGUAGGGGAGAUCGGAAUUCCUGGUGUAGCGGUGAAAUGCGCAGAUAUCAGGAGGAACACCGGUGGCGAAGGCGGAUCUCUGGGCCAUUACUGACGCUGAGGAGCGAAAGCGUGGGGAGCGAACAGGAUUAGAUACCCUGGUAGUCCACGCCGUAAACGUUGGGAACUAGGUGUUGGC